rnacentral:rRNA from 1 species
UACGUAGGGGGCAAGCGUUGUCCGGAUUUAUUGGGCGUAAAGAGCGUGUAGGCGGCCAGAUAGGUCCGUUGUGAAAACUCGAGGCUCAACCUCGAGACGCCGAUGGAAACCAUUUGGCUAGAGUCCGGAAGAGGAGAGUGGAAUUCCUGGUGUAGCGGUGAAAUGCGCAGAUAUCAGGAAGAACACCCGUGGCUAAGGCGGCUCUCUAGUACGGUACUGACGCUGAGACGCGAAAGCGUGGGGAGCUAACAGG